rnacentral:lncRNA from 1 species
CUUAAUAUUAAUAAAUGCUUUUUAAUAACUUUUGCUAGAUCCCAUUGGCCUAUUCACCAUCAAUAUUUUAUUAAUAAUACUCCUGUCACACGUGUGAACGAAAUUCGGGAUUUAGGUAUAAUAUUUGAUUGUAAAUUAACAUUUUACUCUCACAUUGACCAUACUGUUUCGAAGGCAUUUAAGAUGCUGGGUUUUGUAUUACGUUCAUCAAAAGAUUUGUCAAUUCACACAAUAAAAAUCUUAUAUUGCAGUAUCGUGAGAUCAAUUAUUGAAUAUGGUUCUAUUGUCUGGUCACCUAGUUAUGCAUAUCAAAUCCUAAAUAUUGAAAAGGUUCAAAACAAAUUUUUACGUUUUGCAGCUUUUAAGAUGGGUUUAACAGUUAGAAAUUAUACUUAUGACAAUAUAUUAAUGAGAUUAAAUUUACAAACUCUUGAACGCAGAAGAGUCUUGUUGGAUAUUUGUUAUCUUUGCAAAAUUAUCUCUGGUGUUAUUAACUCCGAAGAAUUGUUAAGUCUUGUAUACUUUAAUAUACCUGCUAGAUUGACACGAAAUCCACAAAUAUUCAAGGAACAACGGCAUGCUACAAAUUAUGGUCAAUAUGCACCAAUUAGUAGAUUGACCCUGUAUGGAAACAAGUUUAGUCAUCUAAUAGAUCUGUUUGGUUCUUCAGUUUCCUCUAUUAAACAAGAACUCGGGCGUCUUGAAUUUUGAAUUU